rnacentral:rRNA from 1 species
GAGAUAAUCUUCGCUGCUUCGCCGUCGUCCCUGUCCCUGGCUUCAGUAAUUGACUAGAGGUGGCUGUUGCGCUAGUCUCCAAAUAAGGAGGAGUCAACUCAGCGUUCAUCGAGCAUUCGGAGCUUUAUUUGAAAGGGGAACAGCCCUCGGAGCUUCCAAGCCGCAUUCAUGGGUUCGUCGGUGGGAGGAGAAGAGGAGGAACGGAUCCUGCUAGCGCGCGCGACGCCGCCGGAGAACUUUGAUGAACACACAGGCGAUGGCUCAGUUGAUUUCAGAGGUCACCCUAUUUUAAAGCACAAUACAGGAAACUGGAGAGCAUGCUCAUUGAUUCUUGGGACUGAAGUGUGCGAACGCUUAGCCUACUAUGGGAUCUCCAAAAGUUUGGUCACUUACCUUUCAACAAGACUGCAUGAAGGCAAUGUGUCUGCAGCCAGAAACUUCACGACCUGGCAAGGAACUUGUUAUCUCACACCACUUAUUGGAGCAACCUUAGCAGAUUCUUACUGGGGAAAGUAUCGGACUAUUGCUGUUUUCUCAACUAUUUACUUCCUUGGGAUGUCAGCAUUGACACUUUCAGCAUUGAUUCCUUAUCUCCAGCCCCCUCAAUGUAUUGGGUCUUUUUGUCCACAACCAGCCUUACACCAGUAUUUGAUAUAUUUUGUUGGACUAUACAUGAUUGCUUUAGGGGCUGGAGGUAUCAAGCCAUGUGUUUCGUCCUUCGGUGCAGACCAAUUCGAUGAUACCGAUCCAGUUGAGCGAACAAAGAAAGGCGCUUUCUUCAAUUGGUUUUAUUUCUCCAUAAAUAUUGGUUCAUUGAUCUCUGGCACUGUUCUUAUUUGGGUACAAGAAAAAUAUGGAUAUGGCAUUGGAUUUGCAAUCCCUACCUUUUUCAUUGCCUUAGCUAUCGGAAGCUUUUUUCUAGGCUCAGAGGUAUACAGAUUUCAGAUACCUGGAGGAAGCCCGCUUACAAGAGCAUGCCAGGUAGUUGUUGCAGCCAUUUACAAGCGAAAUGUGGACUUGCCAGUUGAUAGUUCUCUUCUCUAUGAGUGUCGUGGCAAGAGAUCAGCUAUUGAGGGGAGCCGUAAGCUGGAGCACAGCAGUGAAUUCAGUUUUCUUGACAAAUCAGCAGUCGUUUUGCGGAGUGAAUGCGGCGGUUUUCACAAUCCUUGGAGGCUUUGCACUGUCACACAGAUUGAAGAGCUCAAAAUAUUAAUGAGGAUGUUUCCAAUCUGGGCAACGGGCAUUGUGUUCUUCACUGUCUGCGCUCAGAAUUCAUCAAUGUUCAUAGAGCAAGGAAUGGCACUCAACAACCAAGUGGGAUCAUUUAAGAUCCCACCGGCCACCCUGUCGUCCUUGGACGUAAUCAGCAUCGUUGUUUGGGUCCCUAUUUACGAGAGAUUCAUCGUGCCGAUAGCAAGGAGAUUGACUGGUAAGGAGAGGGGCUUCUCGGAGCUUCAGCGUAUGGGGAUCGGUCUUUUCGUGUCCACCAUUGCAAUGGCGGUCGCAGCAUUGGUUGAGGUCAAGCGCCUGGAGAGCGCAAGAUCCGAGGGCCUGGUCCAUCAGAAGGUGCCUGUUUCCAUGAGCAUUCUCUGGCAAGCGCCUCGGUACCUGUUGAUCGGUGUCGGUGAGGUGUUCACGUCCAUCGGGCAGGCUGAGUUCUUCUACAACCAGUCUCCGGAUUCCAUGAGAAGCCUGUGCUCGGCUUUCGCCCUUGUCACCGUGUCGCUUGGAAGCUAUCUUAGCUCGUUCAUACUGACCCUGGUGUCGUAUCUUACGACGCGGGGGGAGCAGAUGGGGUGGAUUCCUGACAACCUGAAUGAAGGCCACCUUGACCGCUUCUUCUGGCUCAUUGCUGGCCUCAGCUCUCUGAAUUUUCUUGCUUUCGUUUACUUUGCGCAGCAGUACAAGUGCAAGAAAGCUUCUGUACUUUGAUGUUUCCGCCUUUGCCUUGUAUUGUGCAGAAAGUUGUGUGGAUAUUUCUCUGAUGAACAAGCUAACAAUGUACAGGCUACAAUGUACAGUCUUCUGUAGUGUACAGUCUUGUAUCCUUUGAUAGUUGUAUACAUUUGUUUACUUGGAGAGUGGGAAUAGUGUACCUUUUCCCCUUGUUAAUGAAGCUUAUAACCAUGUAGCUUUAACC